CACAGAAAACGCAUGCAUACUGUGGUGCGCAUGUCAAGUAGCGACAAUAACAAAAAAUGUAAACAAUACUUACUUGACUAAAAAAUUACUGUAGGGCCCCUUUAAAAAAAAAAUAUUUCCAACCAUCAAGUGAGAAAAAAAAAAUUUCUUCUAUAGGUGUACAAAAAAAAAUAUAUUGCCUCUUAGAAAAUCCCCCCCCCCCAUCACUUUUCUAAUGGUCCGUCCCU